rnacentral:lncRNA from 1 species
CCUUGCCGGGUCUUACAACUAUGUCAAUAACUCCAAGGAAAAAAGAACAUGAGAAUAUUCAGAAUUCCCAGAUGAAAUACAAAGAAAAUGAUGCAAAUGCAUUAUUAUUCAGAAUCCUCAAAUGAAAUAGAAAGAGAGUUACAAUGGAGUAACAUCAGUAUUAACUUCACAUACACAAGCCUGGCAGUUAUCCUUUAUAAGCCAAUUGAAGCAGUUAGGCAAGCCCGGGCAUGAGUGACAAUGUUCAAGUUCUUGUACAAGCAGAAAUGUUAGGAGAUGAUAACUAUAAUUGGAACUCUGCUGGCACUUAACCUUUGCUUGAUCGCUAAACCUUAAGGAAACUCAAGUUUUAACUUGUAAUUUGAUAUGAUGUUCUCAUUUAAGCUGUCUACAACUUCUCUAAGUUUCGUGAUUUUUGCUCCCAGAAAUGCUGAAGACUCCAAGAGUCUAAGUUUUAUUACAAAUAAAACCGACAAUAUUAAUAGGUUAGUGUUCCAAAUAAUUUUAGAUUAUCAGAAAAGCGACACUAACAAGCAAGAAACUUGUCAUUCCAAACCUACCAUCUGGUAAAGGAAGGAGAGAAAUUGCCCAUAAUCUCACAACUCCAAUCUCAAUUAUAAUCUAGAAACUGUUAAAUUUACUACUAGAAUGUCAUUAAGCCUGAGAGCACAACAUGAUUAGUCGACACCAGCUCUUUGAAAUCGCCAUUAACGAACCAGGUAAACUACAUACAACAUAAAUAACAAACAAUGCGAUGAAUUCAUGGCAGCUAAAGUGUCAAAAGAGAGAGAAGGAAAGAGGACCUGCUCAACAUCAUCUCUGUCAAAGUCAUCACGGGACUGGCUGCCAUAAAUGCCAGCACCUUCAGCAUCAACACCAUUUUUACCAAAUUUGAACCAGCACUUUGCUCUUGACCCAUUGGAGGGUCCAAUUCUAACGGGUCUUAACCAACCAACAUUACUUUGAAGACCCAGAAACUGAGAAUUGAGUUUAGGCAAAAAAGGUUGAGAACUUUGAGGAUUGGAAGCGAGAGUAAGAUGGGUUGUACUUAGGAUUGAAGCCAUAACCAACUAAACUGUGUUUUCUAAGAACUCAAAAAAAGGACCGUGGAACUUGAUGUUAUCAACUUCACUUUCUAUCCACACAUGUCUUGUCUUGUCUUUUCAUUUUCUUUUUCCUCUUUUUUUUUUUUUUUCUAUCUUUUCUGGCACAAGUGAAGAGGAGGCUAGGACAGAGUGUUUUGCUUACAUGGUGGGAAUCCAAAAAUCAGCCUUUAUUUAUAGUAUGCUGAUCAGGUGGCUAACAAUCAUCCUCAUUUUCCUUAACUCCUGGAUUCAUUUGCUAGAUAGCUAGUGGGCUAUUUUUAUGGGCCAUUUACCCAACUCAAAAAUUAAAUUCAUAAAUAUAUAAAAAAGUUACUAAUAUUUUAUAUCACAAUAUAAAAUAUAUAUCAAUAUUUAUACAUGAAAUAAACUCUAUCUCUAAUUGAUAAUUAUAAGAAAAGAAUUGAGAUAUUAAUAUAAUCUCUAUAAAAUAUGUUAUUCUCAUAUAUAUAUAUAUAUAUAUAUAUAUAUAUAUAUCACAUAAAAUUUUAAAUAAUUAUAUAUAUAUAUCACAUAAAAUUUUAAAUAAUUAUAUAUAUAUAUCACAUAAAAUUUUAAAUAAUAUAGAGUAAACUUCUUAAAUCUCUUAAAUUAUAUAGUUACUUAUUGACACUCUAUCCAUCUAUCUUGACAUUUAAGACUUUGAAAAUGUUUUAAAAUAGGUAAAAAAGAAAUCUAAUAAUUAUAAUAAUAAAAUUUAUCAAACUAUUAAGUUAGAUUCUUGAAUUACACACACAAACGAGAUUCUUUGUUAUUUUUUAAGAUUCAUAAAAGUUGUUGCAAAGGGGUACUAAAAUAAUGUUAGGGAACACCAAGCAAACCAUGUUCUUAAAAAAAUUAAUUUUUUUUAUAUAAAUUUAUAUAUAUAUAUAUAUAAUUGUUUUAAUGCGCUGAUUUCAAAAAUAAUUUUUAAAAAAUAAAAAAAUAUAUUUUGAUGUAUUUCGACAUGUAAAAUACUUUAAAAAACAAUCACAACCACACUUUAAUUCGUCAAAGAUGGUUGUUGUGUGGUUUAAAACCUAUUUAUUUUUGUAUUUUAAAGGUAAUUUAAAAAGAAAUAUUUUUUUUAUUUUAAAUUAAUUUUUUGAGUAUUUACAUAUUGUUUUAAAGUGAUGAUAUUAAUAAAAAUAAAAAUAUAUAUAUUAUUUUAAAAUAAAAAAUUAUUUUAAAAAAUAACUGAUAAUACAAUAUUAAACAUGCUAUUAAGCUAUGUGGUGGUUGCAGCCACUAAUCUUGGCCUUGCGCGGUGGUUUGUUGAUUUGAAAUUGGUAAUUUUGGGUGAAGAGAGCUUCUUUUGGAGGAGAGCUCUUAGAUAGGCUAGGGUUUUUUUUUUUUUUUUUUUUUCUGGUAAAUAUUUUUUCUUGUUUCUUUUCUCUAAAAAUUUUCGAUCUUCUCCCUUGAUUUUUUUUUUUAUCUCCUCUCCUUUUUUGCUAUUUUAUUCACUCCAAAUUUCCUCCUCCCGUUUCAUUGUGUACAUAUUUUUAAAAUUUUAAAUAUUAAAAUCUUUUCAAAUUUUAAAAUUUAUUAUUUAAAUUUAAGUUUUAAAUUCCUUUAUUUUGAAUUUUAAUUUCAAAUCUUUUUAAUUUUAAAAUUUAAAAUUUUAAAUCCUUUAAUAACUCUCCUAAUCUUAUAAAUUUUAUUUUGGUCCCUCUUUUCUUGGUCACUUAUCUUUUACUUUUUGAUCUUUCAAAAAUUUUUAUUUUUAAAAAUAUAUUUGAAAAUAAAAUUAAAUUUGAAUUAUAACAAAAUUUUUGUUAUUUCUUAUAUAAAAACUCCUUUAAACAAUAAAAGUCAUUAAUCAUGUCGAUAUUUUUAAUUUUAUACAUUUUAUAUGUAAUUAAAUUCAAAAAUAAUAAAAUUACAUUAAAAUUUAAUAAAUUAUUAAAUUGAUCCCUUGUUAUUUUCUUAUAAGCGACCCUUGAUUAUUUUCUUAUAUUAUCUCUUACUCGUUUAAAGAAAAAUAUUUAUACAUUUUGAAAACCUAAAAAUAUUUUUUUAAAAAACCUUCUCUGUCAAACAACAAAUCAGCAUUUUUAUUCGUGCCUGUAUUAUUAACAUUUAGUUCAUGUAUAUUAAAAAAAAUUACAAUGCUAAUAUAAUCACAUUAAAAUUUAGUGGUUUUGAAUAAAUUUUUUAUUCAUGUUUAUACCUUAUGUAUUUUCUUCCAUGUGAAUGGUGUUAUUCAGAAUAUAUUCUUACAUUUUCAUGGACAACAAACAGGAAGAUACAGCAUUUCAUAGGUGAAAUGGAGUCAUCACUGUAUUAUUAGUUUUGUGUUUUUCAUUUUAUUUUGGAAGGGUUUUUAAAAAAAUUUAAAUUUUAAAUUUUUUUUCUUUACUUAAAAUUAAUAUAUUUUUUAAAUAUUUUCAGAUCAUUUUAAUGCGUUGAUGUCAAGAAUGAUUUUUAAAAUAAUUUAAAAAUUAUAUAAUAAAUACUUUAAAAAACAAUCACUGUGACAUAGCGCCAAACACAAAACUAAUAAUGCAGUGGUGGUUCCCUUAACUUGUGCUGACAAAGUUUUCUGGGUAGAAAAGUGGGUUUCUAUUUGUUCUGCAAAAUUAAAGAGGUGUAGUGAAUUUAGCCACAAAAACUACUCCAACAGUCAACUUUGAUUUGCAGGCAUACCAAAUUGUAGGUGGUUUCUUUAAUGCCAUUUACUCUCUCACCGAGCAAGUAAAGAACAAGCAGCUGAGGAAACCAACCGUCACAUGUACAAUCGGUGAUAGAUGAGGAACGCCACCGUUAUCUUUCCCAUGCCCUUCCACGAUGAGCAGAACAAGCAACGACUGCCCCAUUCCUCAAAAGCACUCAAGUUGAUGCACCAAACUACAAUCCUUCCUUUACCCUUUCUUCACUUGCCAUUCAAGACAAGAAGAAAAUAACAACCUUCUACAAAUGGAGAAGAAAGAAGUCAUCUUUCCCUUUGGAUCUCUCACGUAAUCAUUUUGACAGGGACGAGGGAUCUAAGUUGGAUUGUUGGGUCUUGGAUGCCAUGUAAUGGCCCUGUUAUCAGAUAAUUUAGUGCUGUUGCCAAUCAUAAUCUCAGGUCAUAGCCAAAAACAUGGAGAGAUCAACAUGUGAAAGAGGGUCAAUAAAAAAAAAAGUACAGUGGUUAGCAAAUUAAAUGUUUUAACUGCAAGCACAUGAAUACAAUGACAAUGUCACCAUCUGAUCUAUAAAAUGUAAUGCUGUUCGCUUCAGAUAAAGAAGAAUUCAAGUGAUAACACCGAGUAUAAGAGCAAUCACUAGAUGGCAUGGUCUCAAAGCAAUUUGCCCACCAAGACAGAGACCAUCAACCAACUCUCUUCAUCUGCAAGCCUCCUUCAACUGAACAAACAGAGCAUGCAUAAAUCCAGCAUCAUUCCCACAAGAGUCUCCGAAGACAUGGCUGCACAAAACCCGGUACAAAUAGGCACAAGAGGCACCGUUGGGUCCCUCGUAAUGCAAGAAAUCAAGUACUUCAGCCAGCUUGAAAUAAGCUGCCGAGAAAGCUCAAAGAAGCCCCAGCCUCAUGUUACUUCCCUGGCUUCAACUAGUAAUCAAUCCAAAACCACUCUUGGAUCUGUAAUAACAACCCCGAAAAAGAAAAUGAAAGGAGGCAGCAGGCGUCUACCGAGAAUUUGUUCUAUGGUGGAAGUGUCUGAUAGCAGUCGGCCGAAUGGGAUUUCAAGAUUCAGUUAUAGAAACCUGAAAUCUGAUGUCAAGAAGUUGCAAGCUUAGUCAAUGCUCUCAGAUAGCUUUGAGAAACCGAGCUUCUUCAGUUUAUUUGUUAUAGGGUUAGCCCAUGCUCUAUCUGGGUUACCACAUUUUAUGUCCACAAUUUCCACAAUAUGAGUUGCUUUCUUGUCAGAUUUCUCCCUACUAGGAGUUCUAUCCAAAGUAAUAUUAUCAGAGCCAAGCAUUGGCAUUCGAUGGGUGCUUUUAUUGAAGCUUUUCACUUUCCGAGUAGUUGCAGGGCUUCUAUGAUCAAUGCCGCUGCGACAGCCACUGCUGCUUGCUUCAUCUAAUGAUUUUCUUGCUUGUAGUUUUCUAGGAGUAGGAGCGCUACAGGGCACCGAAACAGGAAUAGUUCUAGGCUUACCUUGACCAGAUGCUGAUGCUUGUGGGGAUGGUUUUAUUGAUUCCAUCUCCCUUGUCAUCAGAUCACCAAUGGUUCCAGUGGUACCCACCCUGAUAGAUCCUCCACCCCCUUUGAUAGCUUCUAGUUUCUGAACCAUGUUUCUAUAUCCGUUCAAUCAGAAGUAUGAGUUCGAUCUUCUAGUAUUAUAGUUAUUAACCUUCAGAGCUUCUUGAGAUAAUUUCAGCCAAAUAAGUUCAAUAGCCUGUUCGCAAUGGACACCUGCAUGUACAUGGUACUUCUUAGUAGAAAUCUGCAUAUAUGGUUUUGAGUCCAUGCAACAAGAGGAGAGCUAAACACACACACACACACACACACAAACAGCAAAAUUUCAAAUAAACUAGCUGGGACAUUUAGAUGCAGAAUACUUUACAGGAUACCCCAAAUUGAAAAUGAAGAGUUUUUUUUUUUUAAAUCAAAACAUGUAAAAAACAAAGGAUUAACAACAGAUUAGUGAACAUCUUCCCUGAAGAGUUGCAAGGAAGAAAAGGAUAGGGUUUAUUUGGAUCCUAAGGAAACGAGAGGUAUAAUCUAGCAACUGAUUCCAAGCAAACAUUCAUCAAACAUGAGCUAGGUAAAAGAAUGAGAAAACAUCAGCAACUUGUGACAAUAGUAAUAAGCUCAUAAGAGUUCAUAUUAACAUCAAUUAGGUUCCAGAAGUUGCAGGGUUCAAAACAUGGUCAACAAUAGAUCUUGAAUCCACAUUUGUAUAUAAAAUGCAGAAAGCAAAAUGAACCCCAAAAUGAUACCCUAAGUUCCAGAUACCCUACGACCAUUGGAAUCAGAGCUAUCAAUUUCAAUGAGAAAACAUCAGAUAGAUAGAUUUAUCCAGAUUUCAGAAACCUUUAAUAUCAUUUAAGUUGACCUAAAAGAUAUCAGGGAGUCAUCAAUCGUACUAAGAACAUCAGAUAUACACCAACAGCAGCAACCACUAGUAAUUAUUGGACAUAAAAGAAGGCCAUAAAUUCCUUGUUUUUAUAACAUCAAAUAUAUAAACAAAAGAACCCCAACAACCUUUAAUCAAACCACGAACAAUCAAAUGCAAUGUCAUAAAAGAAGGAGAUAAAAAGAUGAUCAUACCCUAGAUCAAAAGCAAGCCAGAGACACUAAUUUUUUUUUUUUUAGCCAAGCCAAAUUCGAAGAUGACAACAAAAAUCAAGAAUCUGACCUCAACCGAGAAAAUGAAACAAAACCCAGAAAUGAGAACUUUUUUUUGUGUGAAACUGAGAUCUUUUCACUUAAAAGUGUUUGCUUAUACCACGUGUGAUGUUGUCGCAUUCAAAGAACAUAAUAUCUAAAGUCUUAACUUUUGUUAUGAAAUUUGACUUCCUGAGGUGGUGUUUCUUGUCUUUUUCUGCGUUUUGUCGAGGACUGCUCGAAAAGCACGGUAACCAAUCAUGUCGCAGUGAAUUCUGACUCUUGCGGUGAACACCAAACAGUAAUAGUUGUGACCGUUGGGGUAGUUUACCAAUCGCUAGCUAACAAAAUUUUGUUUGUGUUUUGGAGUGUACCGGAUUCUGAAAAUAAAUUAAAAAUAUUUUAAAUUAUUUUAUAUAUUAAUAUAUAUAAAAAAAAAAAAAACCUUCACUUUGUCGUGAACUGAAGCAAAAAGAAUUUCAUAUACUAAAAUAAACUAUCAAUUUUCAUGUCACAAAAUAGUAUAAUUCUUUUUGCUGAAUAAAAAUGGUAUGAUUAGUUUGUUACUAUUUAUAUAAUGACAUUUUAUCCAUUUAUCAUUAAAGUAAUUUCGUCCACUUUCAUUAGCAAACUCCUAAAAAAAGAAUUUUACGUGAUGUUGAGCAUCAAAUCAAAAUUUAUAAGGAAAAAGAGAGAGAUUGCAUCUGAAAUAGUUAGGGUGAGCAAAAAAAAAAACUAAAAAAUUAAUUAAAUCAAGAAAAUAAAAAAAAUAUUAAAAAAUCAAAUCGUAAAAAAAACUAAUUAAAUUUUUUUAAAAACCGACUAGUUUAGUUUGAUUUCGGUUUUUUUAGUUUGGAACUGAAAAAACUGAGCUAAACCCAAACAAACAAAAACAACAAAAUCUCGAGCUAAACAGAAAAAAUCGAGUCAAACCGGUUUGAACAAGUUUUUGUUCAAAAAUACUUAAUCGAACCGAAAUUAGUCGGUUUAAGCUUGUUUCAGUUCGGUUUAAGGUUUUGUUUUUUAAAAAUUUAAUUUAAUUAUUUUUUUAGAUAAAACCAAACCAAAAAAAAAAUAUCACCCUAGCCUAAAAUAUCAACAAUAAGCAUAUACAUAUACAUGCAUCAUGAAUAGUCCUUGAAUCCUCGUGCAGUGCUAGGCCCAUUGGGCAUUUGCCAAACUAGAUGCAGCCCAAAAUAGAAGCCCACCCUGGAAGUCCAACACAGCAAAAAAAAGGUAGAGCUAUCUUGGGUAGAAGCGGAUGUCAGAAUGAAAUUUAAAGAGCUUUGUUUUAAAGUAAUUUUUAUUUAAAAAUAUAUUUUAUUAUUAUUUUUAAAAUUUAUUUUUAAUAUUAAUAUAUUAAAAUAAUUUAAAAAUAUAAAAGAAUAUUAAUGUAAAUAAAAAAAUAUUAAUAUUUUUAAAAAACGAUAGAAGCCACUAUUUUUGUAUAUUGGUUUUUGGUGCAGGAGGUGCGAAGGGAACCCUACCUUUUCAAUUUAUUGGUGACAAAAGAGGGAUAGCACUUGAAAGAUAGGUUUUGGUGAUAAGGAGUUUCGCUAAAAAAAUUAUGUAGUAAGUUUAAAUCUUAAAAUUAAUGUUUAUAAUAAUUUAUUUACUUAUUUAUUAAAUAGAUUAAAUUGAUCUGUUUUUUAAAAUUGACAAAGGAGGUAUUUAAUAUAAAGCAUUAAUAAAGGAGGUAUUUUUAGCAAACCGUGUAUCUAAAAAAUUAAAAAGAAUUUUAUUAAAAUUUUAUUUUUUAUAUGUUUGGGAUCGUUUUAAUACACUGAUUUUAAAAAUAAUUUUUAAAAAAUAAAAAAAAUAUUAUUUUAAUAUAUUUAAACACAAAAAAAUAUUUUAAAAAACAACCGCAAUUAUAUUUCUAGAUAGUCAUUAAAUAAAAAAAUGAUGGUUAAAGAAGAGCAUUCUGGAUUUUAAUUUCACGACAAGUAUAUAGAGGAAUUUAAUUUUAUCUGAAAGGAAAUUUUAAUAUAAAUUGAUAUCUAAAUUUGUUAAAAAAAUAGGAUAAAUUAUCUGCUCAACGCAGAGACUCCCACGUCAAGUGGCGUGUUAAAUCCCUUUUAUUAAGCUAAAUCACGAAGAAGAUUAUGAUUGAUGGCAAUGGAUUUCCAACUCAGCUUGUAAUAAAUUAUUGAAUUUAUCGUUUAAUUCCUAACAAAUCCAGCAGGUGAAAGUUAACUCCUCUUUGUGAUGGUUAAAUUAAUCUGCACUCAAUUAAUAUUAAGCUUGCUUCAUACCCUUUCCCACUAAUAUUAAUAACUAAUUAUAUCUGUGAUAAUAAUUAUUUUUGAAAAUUUUUUUUAUUUAGAAAUUCUUUAAAAUAUAUUUUAUUUUUAAUUUUUUAAAAUUAUUUUUUACAUUAACAUAUCAAAACUAUAAAAAAAUAAUUAAAAAAAUCAAAUUUUUAAGAAACACGAUUUCAACCACAUUUUCAAACAGUAUCUAAAAACAAAAUUAAUUCUAAAUGAGUUUUUAUAAUCCCAUAUAUUUUUCAAUUAAAAAUAUAUUAAAAUAAUAUUAUUUUAGAUUUUCUUUUAAGUUUUAACAUCAUUUUAAAAACAUUUUAAAAAAUAAGUUUAAUUGUAUCGGCCAUUGCUCAUUACCCGAUGGAGCCUAAGCCUAAGAACUACGAGCUUAUUUGUUUUUGUGUUUUAAAAAUAUAUAUUUUUAAUUAUUUGUUUCUUUACUUGAAAUUAAUUUUUUAGUGUUUUCAUGCUGAUUAAAAAUAAAAAAAAUUAAAUAUUAUUUCAACAUAUUUUCAAAUAAAAAAUAUUUUAAAAAAUAAUUUUUAUCACAAUACCAAACAGAUUUCAAGAUAAUAUUAACAAUAACUUGUCACUAAUCUAACUAUGAUAAAAAAAAAUAUAAUGAUUAAAACCAUGUUUUAAAUGAUAAUAUUUAUUUUUUAAAAUGUGAUAAUAGUUGUUUUAUAUUUUUUAUUUGAAAAUAAAUUAAAAUAAUAUCUAUCUAUUUAAAUAAAAAAUUGACUUUUGAUAUAAUAUAUUAAAAAAUUAAUUUAAAAUAAAAAGAAAUAAAUUCUAACCACCCUCCGUAAGUCACGGUAGAAAAUGAAAAUGGGAUUUUAUCUAAAGUCACAAUAACCAACUUAUAAUUGGUGUUUCCUAUUGCAAGAACAUUGGCAGUGCAAGUUACAUCCUCGUCAAUCCUAAAACGUGGACGCCACCUUUCUACUCAUCAACCCCACAGGCAAUUCAUUAUUUAAGAAUUCGUUGUAUGAAAUUGUUCUUCUUACGAUCUUUCCUUCCAAACAAAUCUAAAUAUACAGUAAAGAACUCGGGCAAAAGGGUCCCACCCAUAUAAUAGGACUCUCACAACCGAUUAGAUGUUGACUUCUUAACUAGUCAUACAAAUCAGGGGUCAAAAUCAUCUGAUCAGACCAUUGUGUUACCCCACCAUGUUGAACCCAAAGAGACAACUUGGAAAAAAACAAAGGUUGGAGGCUCCUCCUGGUUUCCCAUCUCAAUGGUGAUUAUUGUGAUCUAAUCUGAUCUGUAACUAGCAAUUUAAAGUCUUGUUUGAUUUUCAAACAAACAGAAUCCAUUUUGUUUUCCCUCACUCUCACACCUCACAAAGAUCUUACCUUUUUCUGGCCUUCUCUUCAAAAGUUCACAUGUCCUCUCCCCAACAAAUGCAAUCAUCUCCAGACCUCACUGCCUUGCCUUAGCUCUCUCUCUCUCUCUCUCUCUCUCUCUCUCCAAGGGCUCCUGUUUCCUCUCUCUGUAAAGCCAUUUCCUUCAAAAACCCUGAGUUUCCUUUUUCUAAAAACCUCAAUUUCCUUCAAAACCCAUUUUGCAUUUCCUUAAAAAACUCCAUUAUCAAUGAGUUCACAAGCACCCAAAUCAAGUAAACCAACAAAACCCCAAAACCAAAACCAACCCACAUCAAGAUCCCCUUCCUUGUCAACCCAUUUAGCCAUGGUUGAACUCAAGCAAAGAAUCAUAACUUGUCUCUCUAAACUUGCAGACCGUGACACUAACCAGAUCGCCCUUGAAGAACUUCACACAAUAACACAAACAAUCUCUCCUGACGCGUUGCCAAUGUUGCUAAACUCUCACUAUGACUCACUUUCUGAAACCUCCAAUUCAAAGCCCUCGGUUAAGAAAGAAUCUUUGCAUCUUCUUUCACUUGCUUGCCAAUCUCAUAGAGAUUUGACAUUACCCCAUUUGGCAAAAAUCAUUUCUUGCAUUGUUAAAAGGCUUAAAGAUUCAGAUUCUAGUGUUAGAGAUGCUUGUAGGGAAGCUAUUGGGGUUUUAUCAGGGUUAUAUUUGAAGGGUAAUGGUGGUGGUGGAGAAGGAGGUGGUGGUGGGGAUGGUAAUGGUAACGGUGCGGGGCCUAUGGUGGGGUUGUUUGUGAGACCUUUGUUUGAAGCAAUGGGAGAGCAAAAUAAAGUUGUGCAAUCUGGAGCUGCUAUGUGUAUGGCGAAAAUGGUGGAGUGUGCUGCUGCAGAAGGGGAUGAUAGUGGUGGUAAUGUGCCCAUUGGGGCAUUUCAUAAGCUGUGUCCAAGGAUUUGUAAGUUGCUGAAUGGACAAAGUUUCCAGGCGAAAGCGGCUUUGUUGGGGGUAGUAACGAGUUUGUCACAGGUUUGUGAAAUGUGGUUGUUUGAUUUUAUUAUUCAUUUUAGCAAUGUGUGUAAACUGUGUUGCUUUUUAUUAUAAUUUGGCUGGUGUGUAUAUUGUUAAUUAUGUGAGUCUGUUUGGUUUAUGAGAAGUUGUGGAUGAAAUGAGAUUCUGUUUGUGGCUUUGUUUUUGGGUUUCGUACUGAUGCAUUUUCGAUUAUAUUUUGUUGGGAAAGAGAAUGAACAAUGGAUUGUUCUGAUGAUGCGUGAUUGAAUUUAAGCUCUGUGGUGAUUAUGGUGAAUGAUGAUUUGUAGGAUAUGCGUUUGCCAAGUUUGAUAGCGUGGUUGUUUCAUGUGUGAUUUAUAUGGGUUUUUAUCAUUGUGCAUCGAUCAAUCUUUGGUUAAGGCUUAAAAGGAAUUGAAAGAGAAGGAAUGGAAAUUUGGGAUUUUGGCAUUUGGUUAUGUUCGAUGAUGCACUGUGUUUAUUAAUCUUGACAAUCAGCAUUAGAGAAAGAAGGCAUAAGUUGUGGCCGGAUAUUCUGUUUUUUUCUUCUCUGAUCUGUAAACUAAAAGUUGCCAAAAGAGAAGUACCACCUCUUGUUUGUCAAGAUGCUUGGAUUAGGUAGUCUAAAUUUAUGACUAGCUUGAAUGGCUAAAAAUUGCGAGGAAAGAGAAGAAAAGGUUGAAUUUUAUAGUGUUACCUGUGAAGGUUUCAUGUCUCAUUUGAUAAUUUAUAAAUCGUGGAUAGAAAAUUUGGAACGUUGGCAUAGGUUUUCCACAGUCUGUCUCUCUCUACAAUCCCAUUCUUAACUGAAAUCUCUCUCCCUCUCCCUCUCUCUUUUUCUUUCUCUGGCUCAGACUCUCUUUCCUCUUUUAAAAUACCACCCAUUUCUCCGCAAACCAUGCAAGAUGAGCACACAAGCUUUCAAAUCCCCUAAACCUGUGAAAUGCUUAAACCAAUCUCCACCCCAUCCUCCUCUACAUCAUUUUCUCUUUCCAAGCAAUUAGCAAAUAUUGCACUCAAGCAACAAAUCUUACUCUCUCUUUGUAAACUUGCUGACCAUGACACCCAUCAGGUUGCUUUGGAAGAUCUCCAUUCCAUUACCCAAUCCCUGCCCCCCUAUGCAGUCCCUGUGCUUCUUAACACCCUCUAUCAAUCCUCUUCUGACCCCACCAAUAAACCCAUUAUUAAAAGGGUAUCUCUCCACUUACUCUCUCUCUACUGUCAAUGCCAUCAUGAUUUAAAGUUACCCCGUUUAACCAAAAUCAUUUCCCACAUUAUCAAAAGGUUGAGAGAUUCAGAUUCAAGUGUUAGGACUGCUUGUUGUGAUGCCAUUGGGGUUUUGUCAGGGUCAUAUUUGAAGGGUAGAGUGGGGCUGUUCAUUGAGCCAUUGUUUGAUGCAAUGCGGGCACCAAACAAAGGUGUGCAAUUGGGUGCAGCUAUGUGUAUGGUGAAGAUGGUUGAAUGUGCUCAACUAGAUAGCAUACUAGUUGGGGAAUUUCAGAAGCUGUGUCCUAGGAUUUCUAGGUUGUUGAAUUGUAAGAAUUUCUUGGCCAAGGCUGAUAUUUUGGGAGUUGUGAAAAGUUUGUCACAGGUUUGGGCAAUGUCGUCCAGUUAUCUCUUAUGUUUUUGAAAUGUACAAUGUUUUCUUUUGGUGAUAAUGCUACCUUUCAAGAUUGAAACAUUUGUUACCUUUCAUGACUCGGUUUAGAUUCAUAAUUUGUCAGACUCCUCCAAAUUGUAGCGCUUGAGAGAGAACAAAUUCCAAACUUCUAUAAUUUCCAAAUAGUUUUCUUGAUAAUUGUUAAAUAGCUUUCUUUGUUUCCUGAUUAUUUCAAUUCAAUAUUUUCUAGGCAGUUUAAAGUUUCUCUCAGUUCACUAAACUAGCUUAGUAGUGUUUGUUGAAGUAACUGUAAUUGUCUCAUGAUUAUAAAUUAGCAACUCAAAUUGGAUAUUUGUAAAUUCUAGUAGCAAAGAGGCAAAAUCCAGGAGUUUUAUUGAUUUUUUUUUUACAGGUGGGAGCAAUUGCACCACAAGGUUUGGAACCAUUGUUACAAAACAUUCGUGACUGCCUUGGGAGCACAGAUUGGGCUACACGUAAAGCUGCAGCUGAUGCUUUAAGUGCUAUAGCACUGCAUUCAAGCCGCUUGAUUGCAGAUGGAGCUGCUAAUUCCACACUGACAGUGCUUGAAGCUUGUCGUUUUGACAAGGUACCUUCUUCAAACCAUUUUUUUUCUCUAUUUUUUUUUAAAUUUUAUUUACAGGAUUAAUGCCUCCUCUUGAUUAUCUCAUUUCAAUCAUUUUCAAGAUCAGUGAGCUUCCCUUGGUUUUUAUGAUUGUAUUGCUGAGUUCGUGAUGGAUGUGUGAUGCAUGCAUUUUAUUUAUUACUUUUUAUAACCUUGUUAAAGCUUUAAAUUUAGUUGUGUUUCACACGUGUUGUUUAUCACCUUGUGAAACAAAUGCUGCAACUAUUAAAAGAUGAAAAACAAAAGAAGCUACUCCAAAAUUUUGUUUCUCGAGAUAUAAAAAAACUCAUUUUCUAUUCUGUUAAAAUGAGAUUGAUUUGGAAAAAAAAUUAAGUGGUUUGAUAAUAGGUAUAAUAUUUAUCCUUUUCAAGCAAGUAUCCAACUGCUCCUCAUUUGGUGAAGAUGGGCCCUUCUUGUUUGCUCUUUUUUUGAAUACCCUUCCAACAAAAAAAUGAUUGGAUUUUACUGAUAGAGAAGAACAUUCAGCUAGAAAGUCCAAUCAAAUCUGUUGUGCAUUAUCCGGGAUGACAUGAUGAAUCUAUGGAAGGAAAAGAAGGCACUUCUAAACUGCCUAGCUUUUCUCAACUGUUCUACAAGCUGCCAAUUAACAAAAAUAUAUUAUUCUUGUGAUUCUUAUAUGGUAGAUAUGCUGUAGUCUUUAGAGGUGCAUGUUAAAUUCUAUAGUUUGAAGGAUUAUCUCGUUUCUAAUUUUGAACUUAAGGAUAUGGAAAAUAGGUUCAAGUUACCUGUUUCUGCCUUUUGAACUACCAUUCAUUCAUUACCAUUUAUUGGCAUAACAGAUAAAACCUGUCAGAGAUAGCAUGACAGAAGCAUUGCAAUUAUGGAAGAAAAUUGCUGGUAAAGGAGAAGGUGUUCCUGAUGACCAGAAAAGUUCCUCUCUGGGUGGGUAUUCGUGCAAUACUUUUCUUUUUGUUUGUUGUAUCUCAUCACAGGGGUGUGAUGUCCCUGCGACACUGUUAAUGAACCUUCAAUUUCAAUUAUCUAAUCAUUGCUUCUUCACCUUUUUCUUUAUAUUUAAUGUUUAGAUGGUGAGCAUCAUGAACAAGCUGAGUUGUCAGAUAAAAAUCUAAAUCCUAAUGACCAAAGAAAGGAGUCAUCAGCAAGGGAUGCAUCCAAUGGUACUUCCCCAACCAAAGAUUCAGCAUCAAAAAGCAAAGGCGGAAGCAUUCAUGACAAAGCAGUUGUAAUAUUGAAGAAGAAAACUCAUGCUUUAACAGAUAAAGAGUUAAACCUAGAAUUCUUCCAGAAACUUGAAAAAAGGGGUUCUGGUGAUUUGCCAGUAGAAGUAGUUGUUCCUCGUAGAUGUCUCGAUUCUUCCAAUUUGAACAACGAGGAAGAAUCAGAACCAAAUGAUUCAGAAUCAAGGGGGAGGCCAAACCGCAUGGGAAACAGCCAAUCGGAUGAUAUUCAUGGAGCUUUCAACACCAAAUUCCGCAAUAUAGAAAGAGGAAUUACUGGAAAAGAUUUAAGAACCAGAACAUUUGAUGAUGAGAGGAUUGACAUAAACCAUAGGGAGUCUUCUGGCAGUCGUGCAGGUUUCUCCAAAUCUGAUGGUCAAUCUGAGGGAUCCUUCAUAAAUAAUAAAGGAAAUUGGUUGGCCAUCCAGAGACAGUUAUUACAGCUGGAGAGACAACAGGCUCAUCUCAUGAACAUGCUUCAGGUCUGUGUAUAAUUUUACAUUAAGGAAAUUGUUAUUAUGCAUGUUUUUAUUUUGCUAAUGAGAUGCUUUACAUUGUAGGAUUUUAUGGGGGGGUCUCACAACAGCAUGGUAACAUUGGAAAACAGAGUUAGGGGUCUUGAGAGAGUUGUUGAAGACCUGGCACAUGAUUUGACAAUAUCAUCAGGCCGCAGAGGCAAUAACUUUGCUAUGGGUUUUGAGGGAUCUUCUAAUAGACCUUUAGGGAAGUAUAAUGGCUUCUCUGACUACUCUAGCACAAAGUACAAUGGGUGGGUUCCUCUUGGGGAAAGAUUUUCCCAAUCGGAUGUUACAGCUUCAGGCAUGAGGGGAAGGGGCUCUCAUAGGAGAUCAGACACAUCUGAUGCCUGGGAAUUCCCCACAUAUGGAGCUUCCAGGAAUGGACAGGCUGUCUCAAGGAGAGCUCCAGGCAGUGGUUCUUUGAAUGUUAGAUCACCUAAAUCUGAACAUGAAGGUGAUCAGUUAGGCAACAGGAGAGCUUGGGAGAAAGGAGCUGGACCUGUUAGGCAUGGUGAGGGACCUUCUGCUAGAAGUGUCUGGCAAGCCUCAAAGGAUGAAGCUACCUUAGAAGCCAUUCGGGUGGCUGGGGAGGACAGUGGGUUAGCUCGGACAGCAAGAGUGACCAUCCCUGAGAUGACUGCAGAAGCUAUGGGAGAUGAUAAUGCUGGGCAAGAAAGGGACCCUAUAUGGACAUCUUGGAGUAAUGCAAUGGAUGCCCUUAAAAUGGGGGACAUGGAUACAGCUUAUGCUGAAGUUGUAUCCACAGGGGAUGAUCUCUUGCUUGUGAAGCUUAUGGACAGAUCAGGUCCUGUGGUUGACCAACUUUCCAAUGAGACUGCAUGCGAAGUCUUGCAUGCUAUUGGACAGUUUCUAAUGGAGCAGAACUUGCUUGACAUCUGUUUGUCUUGGAUUCAGCAGGUAUGGUUUUCUCUCCACUCAAUAUUAUGAGUUGCAUGAUUUGAGUAAUUCUUUACGCAAACUCUAUGUAAUAAUAACAUUUAGAACCCCCUCACCCCCAAACCCAGAUUAUAUCAGGUUGAGGAAUGUUUAUAACUUCCAUCUAGAGUUGCUUCUGGAGUGCAUUAUAAAAUCAGCAGGUGUCUUGGAAGUGCCUAUAACCUAUUAUGUCGGUUGUCACAAAGCACAAAAGCCCCAACUCACUUGAAUUAUGCAUUUCAUAAAAUACAUUUGUAGGGCAUAGGUGUGAUUUAAUGGAAAAGAGAGAAAAAUGGCUGCUGCUAUUCCAACAUCAGUUUUCGAUUGUUCAAUAGCCAAGCCAUAUGAACAAAUUUCUUCUAGGCAUAUUUGGAGCUUGAUGGAUAAGGUUUUGAACUUUUCUUAUUGUUUAUUGUUUGGCAUUGCAGCGAACCCUCUGACCUAAUGUCCUUUCUCCCCCCCAGCCCCUGUGUAAAUGAGUUCUUAUAUUGAUCUCAUUUCCCAUACUAAUGGUUUGAAUUUGCUUGUUUAGUUGGCAGAAAUAGUGUUAGAAAAUGGAUCCCAUGUCUUUGGCAUUCCCAUGGAACUGAAGAAGGAUAUCUUGUUGAAUUUGCAUGAAGCUUCUACCUCCAUGGAGCCCCCAGAGGACUGGGAAGGUGCCGCACCCUACCAACUUUUGUUGCAACUGGCAUCUGCCUGGGGAAUUGAAAUACAACAGUUUGAGAAGUAAUCAAUAGUUGAAGCGCCUAUUUUACGCUCGGAUUCUGUAUUUUAUAAACAGAUUGAUUGUGGCAUGUGGUUAUACGUCCUGAAUUUUGGAAAUUAAAUGUAAAUUGAAAGACAAGGUUUUUCAAACAAAUAUAUGAUCACAUGGAUUUACUCGAGUUACACACUGGAAUGCUUUGCACUUACAAUGCGAUGCGGAAGGGGUCAUUGGCCACAUUAAUUGAUGAAAACUAGCAAAAUUCUUGCAAAAAAUGAGGAACAAUUUCUUUUACAUGCUUCUUGAUACAAUUGCAUGGCGCCAACUCCCAAACUCACCAGAAAAUUUACAGGAAACAGUUGCAUAAAAUAACAUCAAUAUGCAGAGGGCGUCCGUACAUGUCUUCACCAUGGAUAUGAGAUUAGAAGACCGUCAAAGCAGGGCAGCAAACUCCCUUGCCUAUUCAUGGCCAAAACAGUGCAGCUACAUCAUCAAGGGCAACAAUUUGAUAUCAAGGUUGCUGUAUCGAGAAUGGCUCCCAGAGCAAAAUAGCCUCAAAGGAUGGAAUUUGCCUCGACAUGGACAAUGUGGACGGUGCGAGAAUAUAACUCCAUUCUCAAGGUAGGAGAAAGAAGGUAGGAGGAACCUCAAAUGAGAUUUCAGCCCAUGUCGACAUCCAAUUGUGGCAAUGGAGCCAUAUACCUAUUUAGCAGCAUACCAGUUUUGAGCACACUUUGAAUCAACAGCUAGGUCCACAUUAAGAAAAUUCUUGCCACCAAAGGGUUUAGACAUGCACCCAACAACUAUUGCCUUGGCAACCUCAGCUGACUCAGUUGGUCCUUCCAGGAUCACUUCAUCAUGAACCUGUGUUUUAGAUAAUGUUAAUUCAAACAAAUUGUCGGUUAUGAAUUUUUCUUGGAAGACUUAAAAUUACUCGCAUGUAAUUAUGAAUUCCCGGAGACUAAAAUGUGCAAGAGUAACAUUAUUGAAAAAUCACUCAAUUUACAAAGUUGCAUGGCAUCCUGUUAAAUAUGGCAUGCAAAAUCGAUGGAAGAAGGAUUCUAAAGACUACAGCCAUGACAACUUGGUUCCAAUCAAGGAUACAAAUUAAGACACGAGUGAAUGAAUGCAGCUUGCAAUCUCAUGCCAAAGCAGAAUCAUCAGAGGCAAACAUCAAAUUUUAACGACAAAAAAAUAUGUACCUGUAAAAGCAGCUUCCAUCCAAGUUCCUGCAGACGUGUGUUCUUUGAUAUUUCUAGCAUAGCACACAUAGCAACAUCUGCAGCACUACCCUGUAGCAGCCACUCACAUGAGAUAAGAGAGACAGAGAGAGCAGGAAAGGGAAAACUUAAGUGAAAAGGAAAGAAUGGAAGAACCUGCACUGGGGUAUUGAUAGCAGCCCGCUCAACAUGACCUCUUAGAGAAGAACUAGCAUCAGUCAAUGAUGGAAAGACACGAGCCCGUCCCAGCAAUGUGUAAACACGUCCAUUUUCUCUGGCUUCUUUCUUACGAGCUUGUUGCCAUUUAAGCACUUCUUUUCUUUCUUUAUACCAGAGAUUAACAGUUUCCCUUGCUUCCGCCACAGAAACCUGGAAACAAAGAUGAUAAAGACCACACCUAUGGAUCAGCAUGAUUCGAUUCAAAUCAGGACGAAUCACCAAUUAUUUUAGGUUUAUCCGGUAAAGUUACCUUCCAAUCCCUGGAAAGCCCCACAGGAGUCUUUCCAUAAGCAAUAGAAAAGUUAAGCAUUUUAGCUUUUCUUCUUUCAGAAGCAAAGGCAUCCUGAAAAAUAAGUUUCAUUCAGUAACACUAGGUACACUGAAUUCUAUAAUUCUACUUCUUGAUCAUAACAUAAUGCACAAACAAAAGGAGAAACAUUGCCAAAUCUUUAAAAUCAGAAAAAUGCAAAUAAAAUAAAAUAAAUGAUUUGACUACACUUGUUAGAUACAUUCACAAGCAAAAUGGAAGAAUAAUAAACAAUUCACCUUCAGUAACGGAACGGGGGGUUUGUCUUCACCAGGUUGAGGAUACCACUCAAGAAGCACUUGCUUUUUCUCAAUGGCCUCACGAAUAUGCGGAUACAUGUUCAUAGCUGUCCUUGAAUGGAAAUCUCCACCAGCUUUAAAGGCAUCCAACAUGCUCUUACAGUUGGCAAGAUGUGCAAGAAUCCUAAGUUCCAGCUACGAUACGAAUACAUAUUUCAAUCACCCUUCACUCACACUGAUUUAUUUAUGUAUAUAUAAACUCAAAUGCUUACUUGCCCAUAAUCAGCAACAAUAAGUGAAUUUCCAGGUGCAGCUAUAAAUGCCUGACGGAUCUUGUACCGGUCUUUCUCCAAAGCAGGCUGAUUCUGAUUUAUAGAAGACAAGAUGUUAGCACUCUUUAAUCUCUACUGCAUUCAGAAAGAAAACAAUAUUCAAAUUUCUUUUCUUGUCUUAAGAUUUUAUAAAAUCAACUGACAAACCACCAUGAAAACUCCAUGGUGCAUUCUAACACCAUCCUGACUGACUAUCCUACAAAAUGCCUUAGUAAUUGAUACCUCCAAGAAUGAAAAAUUAAAGCCUUUGCAGUUGCAAUUGGAAUAAUGGAUGCAAUACAUAGAUGCUUUGACGUGCAAGUAAAAGGCUCAGGCAAACAAUUGGUUUCACAGUUGUUAUGAUUAACUGAAGCAGCCAAACAGAUAUUUGAUAGAAGCAGCCAACAUAUUUCACGGGCAAUAGAAAUCAUAUUCCAUUCAGCACAUAACAAUUAGAAAGAUUCUCAACUAAAGCACCAGGGCAUCUUUGUUGAAACAUUGAAGUCAUAUUAAUUCAGUUAAUUCUAAGGUGUUAAAAUAAGAGUGAAAAGACCUGCAAAUUUGGUCUCCUAGCUGAUAAGCGCCCGGUUUCUGUAUUGAUAUUCAGAGAACAGUGAACACGCCCACCCUUGCCUGAUAUGUCGCUGCUCUGUGAUGGAAAGACACCAAUAUCAGUAUGAACUAGUCUGAAGAAUUAGAGGUAGAAAACAAAUGCAUGGACAGCAAACUUGCUUAAACUGAGAAAGCACUGAAAUCUAAAUGCUUACAGUACCAUUGGAAGAUAAAAACAUGUAUUAACAACAACAACAACAACAACAACAACAAUAACAAUAACAAUAAUAAUAAUAUUGUUAUUAUACUUGGGAUUGGGUGCUCUGGGAAGAACCAGGAAUGGAUAUUGGAGUUCCAUUUUUUGUCUUGUCCAUUAUUUUGUUUGAACCUUAGAGCUGGUUUGAGUUUUCCAGGAUGUUUUCAGUGUCUGCAGAGGUUGCUUUCUAGUUAGUAGAGUUCGGGGGACUCGUUAUUUACAGAUUGUUGACAAUUUCACUAGCGGGGGGUAGACAUUUAUUUUCUUAGGUAGAUUUAUGAUUUAGGAAUCCAAGUCCCAUUAGUAGAAGGAAUAACUCAGCCUAUAAAUAUGCUUAUAGUCUUUCAAUUUCAGUAUAAAACUUACUAUGACUAAAGUGCAGUCUUUUAGCUUAAUAUGUUGACAGUGCGAUGCUUUCGUUAAAGGAGCAAUUCCUUAAACCCUAGGUGAGUCCCUCGUUUUUUUUUCCCCUUUUCCAGCUUUUAUCAGAAUCUUGAACUAAAUACCCAUUGCACACAGAAAUCUUAGACCUCAACAAUGGCCCCAAUACAAUGAGGCAACCACAAUACCACAGCGGCACAGAAUAAAUGCAUCUAAUCAGGCACAGAGUUAGUUCACAUACAAACACAACGAUCAAAAGGAAUAGCACAUCAAAAUAGCAGUAAAAAUUACCUGCAGGGGGAGGAUGAAGUUGGAUAUCAAAGAAUCAAUAGAGCAAACUUCACAUAAAGAAGCAAUAGCAUGACAGGCCUCAACCCCUUCUUCUGGCGUUUGAAACCUACGCAAACCUGCUACAUACUCAGAUUCUACUUUAUUCUCAACAUAGGACCCUUCGGAAUUUGAAUCUUCAUCUGUCAUUGUCCCAGAAUCAUCCAAGACAGCAUCAUCUAACUGCAAGCCAGCAGCAUCAUUGGCAUCGCUAACAGCAUCAGAAAUCUUCCCAGCCAAGGCCUUCAAAGCAACUCCACUGACUGAAGGCCAACCACUUGCGGUAUAUGUCUCAACAGGCAGAUCAACUCCAAUGCUACAUAACUUAAUGUUGCGAUAUUUUGUGGGAGUCUUCUUGCCUUCUUCAAUCACUUUAUCAACAUUUGGAACUUUGAAUGUUUUAUCUUCUGGAAGAGUAAGGAGAGGAUCCUUGCUGAAAUGAAAAUAAUUAAAACAAAUGAGGUGAUUUUUCCAUCCACCCUUGGUUUAGAUGAAACUCGGUACUAACUGGUGCGCAUUGUCACUGGAUUUUAUGCAAGAAAACUUGACCCGAAUAAUUUCCGAAUUUAGGAAUUCCACGGUACAAAUACUUUUGUUCAAAUUGUAAUGAAAAUCAACUUUCAUGAGGAAUGUGUCCCCUUCCCAGGACAGGCCUCAAAUUUACACUUCAAAAGCACAUUCAACAAAAAACUGAUUCAUGGCACAAAUAUUUUGAUAUUUUUAAAUAAAGGAAGGAAGUUUAACUUUUACCUGUUCUGAACACCACCAAAAAGUAAUUGGCGCAGUUGUGUAUCACUUCCCACAUUCAUGUACUUGGCAUCAGGGCAAUACUUACAAGCCCAAUUACGAAAUCUGUUAGCAGCAACCUCCUGUUCUGCUUUGGCAACCUUCUCCACCUCAGCAAGAUAUGCCCGGUCAACCAGCAUGCCCUCGGUUUCCAUUCUAACUAGAAUCUCCCCAAAUGGUUGCCAGUAUUCCUGGUAGAAGUCAAACAUAGAUUUUUGAAAAACACGUUUUCCAUCCAUAUUCCAAGGCAUUUUAGAUAGUUGGCUCUCCAUGCUCUUAUAAAGCUGCAAAGUGCUUAUUGCAUCCAAAGCAGAAUAACAAAUCCACGGUUCUCGCUCUUCUCUUUGUAACUCUUCAACAGGGGCAAUGAUGGUCAGUUUGCCUUCAGAUCCAUCUUUUUUCAACUUUUUCUUGCCAAAGAUGGUUUUCAUUGACACUUUACCAAUCAAUUCUUUAUAGCAUGAUCCUGCCCCACGCAUGACUUUUUGAUCACCUGUAAGAGCUUCAAGAGAAUACCCACCCUUUAAUCUUCUUGAUGAAUCCCAUAAUCGUGCCAUGUGCAUUGUAUCAGCAUGAAAACCAGAAACAGAAAACCCGUAGUUCUCGAUGACGUGGUUAUCAAAGCUGUAGUUGUGCCACACCUGCAGAAAGGAUAAGCAACUUCAAUGUUGGUUCAAUUUGUAUUUGUGGACUGUGAAUGCAGCCUAGUAAAACAACAUGGCAUGAGCAGUUGAAUUCUCUAAAGUACAGACAAGGCUGUGGACUGUUUAACAUAGUAUAAAAUGAUCAUUGCUUUACAAGGAAAAAGAAAGAACAUGCCUCUUCCAGGGGGGGGGGAAAACAAUGUCAGAGUCCAAAUCUCUGCCCAGGCCAAAUAUAUAUAAAGGUGAAAAAUAAUUGCAACGGCAAGCUUAUUCACAUCAGCAACCUCCCACUAUGCUGAUGUUACAUCAAUUAUCUAAAUGACCAUCAAGCUAUGUUAAAGGAGCUGUAGAUCAAGAGAGCAACAACAAAUUAAAACUGACAAAAUUUACCUUUUUUAUGUCCGGGUCUUCAAAAAACAGAGCAAAUUCAUUCAAAAGAUCCCUGCCUCCACCAUCAAGAACAUCUACCCAGAUACAAGAUUUCCCGUGUCCAAAAUCUGCCUCUGGUCCACAAUAAAUACUGACACAUGUUAUCUCUCCAUGGUCAAUGGGUGUUUCCUCUUUCACAUCAAUUCUGGCAACCUAUAAAGAUACUUUAUCAGAAAUUUAAAUUAUAAAUACAUAGGAGUUCCAAUUAACUCAGAGACAUGCAUAUCCUUUAACAUUCAUGUACAUAGAAAAUGAGGUUGUAGUAUACAUGUAUGUGAUGUGGAAUUUAUCAGAAUCAGAAAUGAUGAGUUUUAAAUAUCAUGGUAUACUAAGAUUAAGCUUGACAUUCAUAGCAGAGCCAUCUAGGAGCAUUACAUACAUGUAAAGGUGAAAGCUAAAAAGCAAAGAAAAAUUAAUUUAAAACAAACCAAAUAUAACCAAAUAAAUCUUAAAAUUAAGCUUGAAACGUGUAUCUCUGCAUAACAAGGUAAUAUCCCUUUCACGUUAAAUAUGUGUCUGUAGUGUUUCGCUCUGGAAUAAAGAUUAAUUUUACAGAAGUUUUAGAAACUUUUACCUCUCUGGGAUUAUUGAGCUUUGGCGCAACUAUAGCAUCUUGCUACUGACAGGAACUUCAAUAUGAAGCCUGAGUAAUAUGCUAUAUUUUGAGAUUAGAAUUUGGUUUAAUAAUUUCUUUAAUUUUUGAAAACAAUUUGAACAGUUUUAAACCCACCUAGAAAUUGUCCUUUUUAAAACCUUAAUCCACUGCACAAUCAACUUCAAAAAUUAAACUUAAGCUAAAAUUACUGCUCACAUUAAAAAACUUGCACUGUGAACAGCUCAAUAUUCAUGUAUUCUCCUCUUAAGGUGGAUUCUAAAUCUGAGAGUGCAAUUUUGGCCUUAGUUUGCUUCCAUUGAAUCCUCAAAGAGCUACUUAUCUAACUUUUUAUGUUAAUGUCUACAUCAGUUUAGGGCAUUCCUGCAGUACUACACCAGCAUGCCUCUCUAUUGUCUGAGCAAUUAUAUCUUAAAAGAAGAUAGCAGAAAGAACUUGAUUUGAUUUAAGUGCAUACCUCAGUAUCGCAAGCAUGGAUAAGAUGCCUAUACUGAUUUGUAAGCUUACUAACAACCUCCUUUGCCAUAGUGACAUUAUCAACAACCAGUACACUCUCAUAUAUACUAGUAAGCCUCUCACGAAUGUCUAGCUUGUGAGGCCUUCCAUUGGUCUGGACUUGCUCCUUUGAACCAAUACCUGUGUGUCCAAGUUCACUAGACUGGAACUGCUUUUCAUUCUCCAUUCUCUGCAUGAACGAUCCAUUAUUCCACGCACUCUCUUUUAAAAUGUCAUCCAAAGAUGAACCAUUUGGCCUUUUGUUAUCAACCAGCUGACCAACAUUCCUGGAAAUUAGUUGUUUCUGACUCUUAGGUUUAUCUUGUGUUUGUAUUGCAUUAAUAUCCAUCCUUUCAUAUUUAAAUGAAUAAACACUACCAUCAUAUUCACAUUUCUGCUUCAACAGUUCAUUACUCUCCUGUUUCCAUAAAGCUCUAGUACCAUCACGAAGGAUCGUAGUGAACUCAAGACCAGGAGGCGCAUUAGAAUUUCUUGAAACCACCCUCCUCUUCUCAUCUCUCUUUUGCAUGUCAUCAAUCACUUGCAAAGGGAUUUUCCCCCAAAACCUAACAAAUACAAGGAACACAAAUUUUAUUCUAUACAUGUGAAGCAUCAAAUACCAAAAUCUUAAUCAGAAAGUGUAAUUUUUACAUGGAUUGACUCUCUUUAGUUAAGACCAAUAAGAGGUCUACAUAAACCGAUUCUAUACAACUUUUUAAUGGUUUACUUGCAAACACAUUUAGCAUGUUCCAAACACCAGAUUAUCAGAACACCCAGAUAGCAAAAACUAUGAAGACUAAACAACAUCUUAAACACUUAGUACAAAAUGAAGCUUUCUAUACUCAUAAUCAAGCAAGCCAUAAAUGGAACGGUAUGAACAAAUAAAAAUGUGAGUAUCAACUAAACUGAAAAGCCUACAAAAAUCACGUUGUUCAGUACACAACAUCAAAUUCUAUCAACACAAACCUUUGCUACACUACAUUACACUGCACUGCACUCAAAACCCAAACAAAGAAAGGAAAAAAACUGGGUGUUAAAUAAUUUCCAAACCCAGGUAGAAAAACUUUAAAAACAACAAAUGAAGGUCUUGACAUGAAUAAUAAAAGUGAAGAAACCUGUGAAGGGCAACAGAGAAAGGCCUAGAAGAACCUUCCCUGGAGGCAAAGCAAGGACAAGAGCGAGAUAACUUGAAAUAAGAAGGGCAUAUUGGUCUAAAAGGACUGAUUUGAGUGGUGGUGGAGGUGAUUCCCAUAGCUAAAACGUCAGCAAACCUCCCCAGCUUAGCAGCCCUACUUCUACUAUAUAUGAGAGCCGUUUUGUAAGGGUUUUGGUGGCAAAGAAAGUAAAAAGAAGGAACUUUGAGGGUGUGGUUUGUGUUAUCUGAGGGGGGAUGCAAGUGGGACUGUGAAAGAUACAGGAGCAGAGGGAGAUGGAGAAGACAAAUACGAGGGAAGGCCAAGAGGUCUAAACUAAAACCCUUUUGCGUCUUUUUCUUUCUUUUUUUUAAGGAAAAGCUCAAUUAUUAUUAUUAUUAUUUUAUCUUUUUUAUUGGCUGGCAAAUAUUUGUCUUUGUGUAUAAUUUUGACAUUCUAUAAUUUUUUGUUUGGGAAUUAAGGCUUGGAAAACUUGUUUAUUACAGAUAUGCCAUUAUUGGUGGGUCUGGUGGUCUAGCAGUGUAGUGGAUUCAUAUCUUAUUUCUUAUUCUUUUUAGAAAAAUCAUUAAUGUUUUUUACAAGUUAACUUGUCUAUAUCUAACUUAAAGCUUUCAAAGAAAAAAUCAAAAUAAUUUUUGUUUUAACUUUUUAUCUAAAAUAAAUAUUGAAACAAUUUUUUAAAAAACUGAUUUAAGUCCAUGUACCUAAUCUUAAUAAGAACCAUGCUAACCCAUAAAAUUCCAAUUUUUUUUUUUGCUAAAAUUUAAUGCGGUUUGUAUGUUUUGAAUUGUUUUAAUGUGCUAAUGUCAAAAAUAAUUUUUAAAAAUAAAAAAAAUUAUUGACAUACAUUUUAGCAUAAAAUAUUAUUUAAAAAAUAACCAUUACCACACUGCUAAACAUAAAAAUUAGCUUUGCCAUUGGUAGCAAGAAUAGCCUGGAAUUCACAAAUAAUAUUUCAACGAGGAUGAGACAUUAGUCUGGCACUAGUUUUUAAAGAGAGAAAUAAGAUUUUGAGAAUUGACUUAAUUGUAAGCAGAUUUUUUUUUAUAUAUAUAUAAUAUAAAUAUUUAAAUUAAUUUAUACAUAUUUCAACUAAUUUCACAGUUUUUAAAAUUAACAACAGAUUCUGUUUUUAAUAUUAAUUGAAAGGGAGAGAGGAAUUUAAAAUCUACUAUUUGACAUGAUUUAUGAGUAAUUAUUCAAAUUAUUUUUUUGUGCAAGAAUGGUCUCCCACCAUGCUUCUCUUCCUAGUUGUUCCUGUAAUUGUUUCCAGCAUAAAUUACACGGGUUAAUGUUUCAGCUUUCUUCCGACUAGAAACAAAAACCUCACGUAUUUAUACACUCAUGGAGGCUAAUGUGUGGUGCAAGGGAGGUUGUACGGAAUGCUUUAAUGGAGUUGCCUAUAAAAUAUGAUUUUAGGGAGGCUAAUGGCAAACUACCUGAUCUCCACUUUGGACAUGCUCUUUCCCUUGAGCAGCCCAAUAAAGAAGGGUUUUUUAGACACGUUGAAAAUAGAUUUAUCACAUGCCAUCAACUAUAACAGUGACAGCUUGGCUCAUAUUAAUAUACAAGUAGAUGCAGCUUGCCAUCAAAUUAAUAUUUUAAAGAUUUUAUAGUAUAUUUAUAGCCCAUAAACCCUGUUAUUUCGUUAAGAAAAAGGCAUGGAGUGUAAUCUUACCAUGAUAAUAUUUAAUGAGUUAAAAAUAUUAUUUACAUCUAUAUUAAUAUUUGAUAGGAAUAUGAUGGGUUUUUGAAGGACUUUUAUACACUUGAAAGGUAUAGAAAGAUUAGGGUCCAAGACUUCAAAAGUAGCCAAGUUCUUGGAGGCUAAGUUUUUCUUCAAGGAAAAAGUUGAUCAUUUCCUUGGGUGUAUCAAGAGAGGAUGAUCAUUUCCUUAGAAAUAUCUAGUCUAAAUGUCUUGGAUUUAACAUGUUAAUUAAUCUCAUGUUACUUCGGACUUAACAAACUGUCAAGUGUCUUGGGUCUAGUAUACUUAUCAAAUAUAUGUUGUCUUGAACUUGAUUGACUAUCAAGUACAAGUGUCUUGGGUCUGAUAUGUUUGUCAGAUUCACAUUACCUUAUUUCCUUGAACAUGUCAAGGGAAGAUUGUCAUUACGUCAAGCAUUCCAAGAGGGAAUAUGCAUUCUCAUGGGCAUGCUAGGGGCUUAGCAUAUUGUCAAGCUUAGCAUGCCCAAGACUUGGUCAAAAGCAUCAAGGUUUGGUUGACGCCAAACUUAACAUUUUGGAACUUGGCACAUUGUCAAAACCAAUCAUGAUUGGGUCUAGCUAAUGUCAAACCAAGUGUUUUUAGAGCUUGACACACUAUCAAGCCCAAUUACAUUUGAGUUUGACUAACACCAGACCCAACAUGCCCAAAGCUUGGCACACAACCAAACUUGUAUUAAUCUAGGCAUGCUCAUUACCUUGACCAUGUCUAAUGAAAAAGGGUAUGAGAAUUUUUUUAAACCCAUUAAAAAUAGGUUUAUCACAUGCCAUCAACUAUAACAGUGACAACUUGGCUCAAAUUAAUAUAGGAGUAGUUGCAGCUUGCAAUGUCAUAUACCAGAGAAUAGCAAUCUGAAAGCUACAAAAAGCAGCCUCCAUCUAAGUUCCUAGAGUCGUGUGUUCUCACAUGGCACACAUGACAACAUCAGCAAUAUGAGCGAGGGAGAGGAGUAAAGUGCAGAACUUAAAUGCAUAGGAAAUGAUGGAAUAUUAUUAUGGCAUUGCGUGGGCUUCAUUAGUAAAUAAUUUAAGAACCUGCACUGGGGAUAUUCACAGCUGCUCAUUCGACAAGAUCUCUUUGAGGAUCAAGAACUUGAA